AAAAUUAUUUUUUAGGACAGUUUUCUCUUCCAGAAGACAAACGUCAAUUAUAUGAAUUCGAUAUCAGAGUGCCACUCAUCGUUCGCGGUCCGGGAAUAAAAUCUAAAUUGGAGUUAAUGGAGCCUGUUUUAAACAUCGAUUUUGCUCCUACAUUUAUGGAUUUGGCCGGAAUCAAAAUACCAAACGACAUGGACGGAACGUCUUUUGCAAAUUUAUUAUACAAGAAACCAAAAUCUUGGAGAAAUCAGUUUUUUGUAGAACAUAAAGGCGAAUCGGCAAAAGAAAUAAAUGGAUGUCCUCAAUAUUUGAACUCUGGAGUUAGCAGGAAAGUUCUGUAACAUAGUAAGGCAGACAAGAAGCCUCUAAUCAACUUUGCCGUAAGACUUAUUUUCCUGAGGUGUGAGAAAGGAUAAAGAAAGACUUUAUUAUGUAGUCUUUGUUUGUUAAUUUCAGAAAUUAUUACAAUACUGUAUUUAUGAAAUUAAUAGAUGAAUUAUUUUCUUUUGAACAGACAACAAUAAAUAAAUGAAUGUUUUAAUAUUAAAAAUAU